rnacentral:precursor_RNA from 7 species
UCACGGGAGGCGUCCCCGGCCCUCGCGGGGGUGCAUUGUAGUUGCAUUGCAUGUGUCAGACUGGGAGUGCAAUGCCCCUGCCAUGCAGCCCGGCGGGGGUCCCGCGCAGCGCCCGCCUGC